ACUACGGGUGGCAGCAGUGGGGAAUAUUGCACAAUGGGGGAAACCCUGAUGCAGCAACGCCGCGUGAGUGAAGAAGUAUUUCGGUAUGUAAAGCUCUAUCAGCAGGGAAGAAGAAAGACGGUACUUGACUAAGAAGCCCCGACUAACUACGUGCCAGCAGCCGCGGUAAUACGGAGGGGGCAAGAGUUAUCCGGAUUUACUGGGUGUAAAGGGAGCGUAGACGGCGGGACAAGUCUGAAGUGAAAGCCCGUGGCUCAACCGCGGAACUGCUUUGGAAACUGUAUAGCUUGAGUACUGGGGGGGCAGGCGGAAUUCCUAGUGUAGCGGUGAAAUGCGGAGAUAUUAGGAGGAACACCAGUGGCGAAGGCGGCCUGCUGGACAGAAACUGACGUUGAGGCUCGAAAGCGUGGGGAGCAAACAGGAUUAGAUACCCCAGUAGUC
rnacentral:rRNA from 1 species